GGUCACAGCCCACCAGUUAGAACCACAACCAUAGCUACAGCUCCGGUUUCUCUUUUCUCUUGUCUGGUUAGGUAUAGUGGAAGUGCUGAUGUGUCGUGAAAGGGCGAGGAACUCUCUGGGACGUGUGUUUGUGGGUCAGAUGAGAGAGCUGGUGUCAUCGUUGCAUCAUGAUGCAGCGGUUCGUGUGGUGGUCUUCAGGAGUUUGAUACCCGGAGUCUUUUGUGCAGGGGCAGAUCUUAAGGAGAGAGCUCAGAUGAGUAACCCUGAGGCAGAGCUGUUUGUACAUGGCUACGAUCACU